rnacentral:tRNA from 1 species
GGAGAGAUGGCCGAGUGGUUGAAGGCGCACGCCUGGAGAGCGUGUAAGGGGGAAACCCCUUCUCGGGUUCGAAUCCCGAUCUCUCCGCCA